GGGUUAGGGUUAGGGUUAGGGUUAGGGUUAGGGUUAGGGUUAGGGUUAGGGUUAGGGUUAGGGUUAGGGUUAGGGUUAGGGUUAGGGUUAGGGUUAGGGUUAGGGUUAGGGUUAGGGUUAGGGUUAGGGUUAGGCUUAGGAUUAGGGUUAGGGUUAGGGUUAGGGUUAGCGUAGGGUUAGGGUUAGGGUUAGGGUUAGCGUUUGGGUUAGGGUUAGGGUUAGGGUUACGGUUAGGGUUAGGGUUAGGGUUACGGUUAGGGUUAGGGUUAGGGUUAGGGUUAGGGUUAGGGUUAGGGUUAGGGUUAGGGUUAGGGUUAGGGUUUAGGGUUAGGUUAGGGUUAGGGUUAGGGUUAGGGUUAGGGUUAGGGUUAGGGUUAGGGUUAGGGUUAGGGUUAGGGUUAGGGUUAGGGUUAGGGUUAGGGUUAGGGUUAGGGUUAGGGUUAGGGUUAGCGUUAGGGUUAGGGUUAGGGUUAGGGUUACGGUUAGGGUUAGGUUUAGGGUUAGGGUUAGGGUUAGGGUUAGGGUUAGGGUUAGGGUUAGGGUUAGGGUUAGGGUUAGGGUUAGGGUUAGGGUUAGGGUUAGGGUUAGGGUUAGGG
ensembl:lncRNA